AAUAAGGUAGGGAAGAACUUCAAAUCGAACCCGGAGAUAGCUGGUUCUCCCCGAAAUAGUUUUAGGACUAGCCUCAAGUUAGAUACCUGGAGGUAAAGCACUGAAUAGCCUAGCGGCCGAGAGGUUAGCGAAGCUUAUCAAACUCAGAAUGCCAGAGUAUUGAUGCUUGGGAGUCAGACAGUGUCAGAUAAAUGUCAUUGUCAAAAGGGAAACAGACCAUAUCUUCCGCUAAGGUCCCAAAGUCAGGUUAAGUGGAAAACGAUGUGAAGAUACGCAGACAACCAGGAUGUUGGCUCAGAAGCAGCCACUCAUUCAAAGAGUGCGUAAUAGCUCACUGGUCGAGCGUCUUUGCGCGGAGAAUUUAACGGGGCUAAACCUGACACCGAAGCUUAGGCAAUACAGCAAUGUAUUGGGUAGGGGAGCGUUGUAUACGCGGUGAAACAGUAGCGCAAGCGGCUGUGGAGUGUAUAGAAGUGAGAAUGCCGGAAUGAGUAGCGCGAAUGCAGUGAGAAUCUGCAUGGCCGAAAGCCUCAGGUUUUUGGAGGAAGGUUCGUCCGCUCCAAGUUAGUCGGGAGCUAAGGUGAGGCCUAACGGCGUAGCCGAUGCACAGACGGUAGAGAUUCCGUCACCACCAAAAGAGUUAAGCACAGGGACACAUUUGAAGUCUCGGAGCCGGGUGUUGGUUCCGGUAGAGAUCGAGGGAAGUUAGUACCGAAGUCUGAGAUGGAAGAUGGCGAGAAAAGCUGUGUGUAUUUCUGAGGUGCCCGUACCGCAAACCGACACAGGUAGGUAGGAAGAAGAUUCUAAGGCCAACGGGAGAAGGGUUGUUAAGGAACUCGGCAAAUUGACCCCGUAACUUCGGGAGAAGGGGUGCUCCAGAGAUGGAGCCGCAGAGAAUCGGCCCAAGCAACUGUUUACCAAAAACACAGGUUUGUGCUAAAUCGAAAGAUGACGUAUACGAGCUGACGCCUGCCCGGUGCUGGAAGGUUAAGAGGAGAUGUGCAAGCAUUGAAUCGAAGCCCCAGUGAACGGCGGCCGUAACUAUAACGGUCCUAAGGUAGCGAAAUUCCUUGUCAGGUAAGUUCUGACCCGCACGAAAGGCGUAACGAUUUGGGCGCUGUCUCAGCUGUAGACUCGGUGAAGUCUUAGUACCUGUGAAGAUGCAGGUUACCCGCGACUAGACGGAAAGACCCCAUGGAGCUUUACUGUAGCUUGAUAUUGGACUUUGAUGCAAGAUGUACAGGAUAGGUAGGAGACUGAGAGACAUGCACGCCAGUGUGUGAGGAGUCAAUGUUGGGAUACUACUCUUCUUGUAUUGGAGUUCUAACCGGAUGCCAUGGAACUGGCAACGGGACAGUGUCAGGUGGGCAGUUUGACUGGGGCGGUCGCCUCCCAAAGAGUAACGGAGGCGCCCAAAGAUACCCUCAGCUUGGAUGGAAAUCAAGCGCAGAGUGCAAAGGCAUAAGGGUGUUUGACUGCGAGACCUACAAGUCGAGCAGGGACGAAAGUCGGGCUUAGUGAUCCGGUGGUACCUCGUGGGAGGGCCAUCGCUCAACGGAUAAAAGCUACCUCGGGGAUAACAGGCUGAUCUCCCCCAAGAGUCCACAUCGACGGGGAGGUUUGGCACCUCGAUGUCGGCUCAUCGCAUCCUGGGGCUGUAGUCGGUCCCAAGGGUUGGGCUGUUCGCCCAUUAAAGC
rnacentral:rRNA from 1 species